UACGUAGGUGGCAAGCGUUGUCCGGAUUUAUUGGGUUUAAAGGGUGCGUAGGCGGUCCUAUAAGUCAGUGCUGAAAUAUCCCGGCUUAACCGGGAGGGUGGCAUUGAUACUGUGGGACUUGAGUAAAGUUGAGGUUGGCGGAAUUGACGGUGUAGCGGUGAAAUGCUUAGAUAUCGUCAAGAACACCUAUUGCGAAGGCAGCUUACUAAGGUGCAAUUGACGCUGAGGCACGAAAGCGUGGGGAUCAAACAGG
rnacentral:rRNA from 1 species